AUUGAGCUUAGACGAAAAGAAAAAUAUCGAUCAAAUUGACCUACCUCUAAACGAUCUCCCUUUCUCACAAAACUUGAAUAUAAGGCCAGUAUUUAUACAAAGUAUGUCUUUGCUUCGCUCCUGCAUGACCUCGUGUUAAAUGCUACAAAGCUUGCUGAACGCUGAUCGAAAUAGUAUUACAGGUAAACUACGUGAAGAGUUCGUCUUUUGACUUCGUAACUCAUUUGGAAUUUUCCUCAUUAGCUUUGCAAAUUUGAAAAACUCAGGAAGUUAGGAACUUCUAACAGGAAGUUAAGAACUUCUAACAGGAACUGAGGAAAAUUUUAUUGGCUUUUAGCAACAUUGCAAAUUUCCUCAAGGGAUUUGCAAGGGAGUUUUUUAAAUUGCUAAAGUGAUGAGGAAAAUUGCAAUCAAUUUAGAGACUCAAAAGAGGAACGCUUCACGUAGUUUACCUGUAAACGGCAUACUUGGUAUGUCGUUCGCAGUCGCUAAACAAAGUAUUCGGUAGUCAUCGAUUGAUAAUGCUCCAAUGAUAAUGCUCGAUAAUGAUAAUGAUAAUGCUCCAAUGUAAAUUCCUUACUGCUACGUCAUAAUUUGACGUCACAACUGCCGACAAACACUUGAACGACACAAAAUCGAGAUACACUUCAAGUUUAUAAAACUGUUAGCGGGAAAUUCAAAUGCGCGAUAAGAAUAGGAGGCUGCCUUCGGCAGCAAUUACUAUUGUAGUUCAUAUAGAGUAGCUCGAGAAUUCAAACUUUUAAAAAAAUUGGCAGUUUAAAUUACUUUUGGAAUAAAUAAAACAGACUUACACCGGUUUUGUCGGUUUGGUACAUUAGUAUGUCAUACAAUUUACUAGAACAAAACAUUUUGACUUGAUAAACAGUUUACAUGCCGUUACUCAACACUGACUAUUUUACGUAUUAAUAAUCAGCGAACUCAAAAAUAUAUUUAUAUCAAAACGAAGACAAUGCCAUCUUAGGGCCAAACAUUACAAUAAAUUUCAAAAUCAUACAAAAUAUGAUCAGCUGUGAGCGAAUAUAUGUUUCAAAAUUGCAACGGCUGAACAGUACAAACGUUUACAGUUGACAAUAACAAACUCUUAACUCUAAAAAUAUAUCACAAUACAAGCUACUGUAAAUUGCACUGUACUGUAGUUUGUAGUCUGCUGUAAAACUUAUGAUCAUAAUAACAUAAAAGCAACGUUUGCAGAUUGAGUAAUAAGUUUCAUAAAUACAUCAAGCGACAUGUAUUCCAAACUUUAAUAGGAUUUGUCAAUCAGUAUUUCAAAUUGAUUGGGUAUAUAGCUACGACUGUAUUAUUUAGAGAAAUACCAACACCUGCAUGGGUUUGUAUCCAUGCUCUUCGACUUGUCAAGGCAGCUAAAACAUCUCAACGAUUUGCAGCUGUUCAGUUUUUAGUUUUAAAAUCCAAAUUCACAGUACUCUUUCAAAAUUAUACGCUUUUAUUGAAAGCGUAUAAACAUUGCGCCACAGACGGUUCCAUAUAUUUAUGCGUAUUUUGGCAACAUUAUGAUUUCAACCAAUAGCAUUUUUGAGUCCGCUCACUGCACGGCCCCUCGGUCCCUAACAAUUUUGGGAAAAGAAAUAUUCCCCAAGCCAACUGCGCGGAUCGUCGUUCCGGGCGUUAGCCCGGGGCGAGGGUACCAAUUCCGCUCGGCUAUUUACACCCGAGGAAAGGGAAGCAUUAGCAAAGUCUAAAGUUCAUCAAUGAUCGCGGGCGUGGUUCACCAACCGUGGGUGGUCAUCCUCACUGAUCUCAAAAUAUGGCUGCCUGCCACGAGUGGAAUAAACAAGAUUUCAAUUUUCAAAAGCAUAUAUUUGGAAAAUCACGUUUCACACAAUGAGCUUUGAAGCAAUUUUAGUUUGAAGAAAUGAGAAGAAUUGAUUUACUGUGGAAAAUCGUGGAAUAUAGGGCAAGUUUGCUUUGAAUGUUUAAUGUUUAUGAAUUUAGUUGCUUUAAUUUAUUGCGUAAAACAUGCACUGCUUUCCUUUUCAAUGAAGCUGUAUUGAAGUUUGCUAAAUUAUAUCCUCAGGGCAGUUUAAUUUAAAAAAAAAAGGUAAAAUGUAAAGGAGAGCAAAU